rnacentral:rRNA from 1 species
AUUGAACGCUGGCGGCAUGCCUUACACAUGCAAGUCGAACGGCAGCACGGGGGCAACCCUGGUGGCGAGUGGCGAACGGGUGAGUAAUGCAUCGGAACGUGCCCAGUGGUGGGGGAUAACCCGGCGAAAGCCGGGCUAAUACCGCAUACGACCUACGAGUGAAAGCGGGGGACCGUAAGGCCUCGCGCCAUUGGAGCGGCCGAUGUCUGAUUAGCUAGUGGGCGGGGUAAAGGCCCACCAAGGCGACGCGCAGUAGCUGGUCUGAGAGGACGACCAGCCACACUGGGACUGAGACACGGCCCAGACGCCUACGGGAGGCGGAAGUGGGGAAUUUUGGACAAUGGGCGCAAGCCUGAUCCAGCCAUGCCGCGCGCGGGAAGAAGGCCUUCGGGUUGUAAACCGCUUUUGGCAGGAACGAAACGGCGCAAGCUAAUACCUUGCGCUAAUGACGGUACCUGCAGAAUAAGCACCGGCUAACUACGUGCCAGCCGCCGCCGUAAAAC